rnacentral:rRNA from 1 species
UGCCGCGUGCAGGAUGAAGGCCCUCGGGUUGUAAACUGCUUUUGUACGGAACGAAAAGACUCUCUCUAAUAAAGAGGGUUGAUGACGGUACCGUAAGAAUAAGCACCGGCUAACUACGUGCCAGCAGCCGCGGCAAUACGUAUGGUGCGAGCGUUAAUCGGAAUUACUGGGCGUAAAGCGUGCGCAGGCGGUUAUGUAAGACAGAGGUGAGAUCCCCGGGCUCAACCUGUGAACGGCCUUUGAGACUGCAUGGAUACAGUGCGGCAGAGGGAGAUGGAAUUCCGCGUGUAGCAAUGAAAUGCGUAGAUAUGCGGAGGAACACCGAUGGCGAAGGCAAUCCCCUGGGCCUGCACUGACGCUCAUGCACGAAAGCGUGGGGAGCAAACAGGAUUAGAUACCCUGGUAAUCCACGCCCUAAACGAUGUCAACUGGUUGUUGGGAAUUAACUUUCUCAUUAACGAAGCUAACGCGUGAAGUUGACCGCCUGGGGAGACGGCCGCAAGGUUGAAACUCAAAGAAUUGACGGA